rnacentral:rRNA from 1 species
AUUGAACGCUGGCGGCAUGCCUUACACAUGCAAGUCGAACGGCAGCACGGGGGGUAACCCCUGGUGGCGAGUGGCGAACGGGUGAGUAAUAUAUCGGAACGUGUCCUGUAGCGGCGGAUAACCUAUCGAAAGAUGGACUAAUACCGCAUACGACCUACGGGUGAAAGCGGAGGCCCGCAAGGCUUCGCACUAUAGGAGCGGCCGGUAUCGGAUUAGCUAGUUGGCGGGCGAACGGCCGACCAAGGCGACGAUCCGUAGCUGGUCAGUGAGGACGAUCAGCCACCCUGGAGCUGAGAGACGGUCCAGCCACCUACGGGCGGCAGGAGUGGGGAAUUUUGGACAAUGGGCGCAAGCCUGCUCCAGCCAUGCCGCGUGAGUGAAGAAGGCCUGCGGGUUGUAAAGCUCUCUCGUCGGGGACGAAACGGUUCGUGCUAACACCACGGACUACUGACGGUCCCGAAGAAGAAGCACCGGCUAACUACGUG